rnacentral:tRNA from 1 species
UAUUUCAUAAAAACUAUUUUUUUUAAUAUCACAAAUUAACGUUUUAAACUUUAAACUAAUGAAAU